rnacentral:rRNA from 1 species
UACGUAGGGCGCGAGCGUUGUCCGGAAUUAUUGGGCGUAAAGGGCUCGUAGGCGGUUUGUCGCGUCGGGAGUGAAAUCCACUGGCUUAACUGGUGGCUUGCUUUCGAUACGGGCAGACUGGAGGUAUGCAGGGGAGAACGGAAUUCCUGGUGUAGCGGUGAAAUGCGCAGAUAUCAGGAGGAACACCGGUGGCGAAGGCGGGUCUCUGGGCAGUAACUGACGCUGAGGAGCGAAAGCGUGGGGAGCGAACAGG